GAUAUGAUCAUUUGGCCACUUCUAAUAAGUAUCUUUGAUUGCAUUAUGUGUGUUGAACAUAGAAACUUCAGGUGCUGGAUCCAUAAUCAUAUUUAGGAUCCAUUCAUGUUCUAGAACUAUUUGCAACUUUCGAUACCAACUAUCGAAGUUGGAUCCUAUAAAUAAGUCACUAUCAAACAGUGAAUAAAGCAACAAACAUUUAGCCAUAACUAAAAGAAAAACACA
rnacentral:lncRNA from 1 species